rnacentral:rRNA from 1 species
AUCAUGGCUCAGGAUGAACGCUAGCUACAGGCUUAACACAUGCAAGUCGAGGGGCAUCAUGAACUUAGCUUGCUAAGUUUGAUGGCGACCGGCGCACGGGUGAGUAACACAUAUCCAACCUUCCCGUUACUCUGGAAUAGCCUUUCGAAAGAAAGAUUAAUACCGGAUAGUAUCGAGAGAUUGCAUGAUUACCCGAUUAAAGAUUCAUCGGUAACGGAUGGGGAUGCGUUCCA